rfam:Brachypodium distachyon strain Bd21 chromosome 1, whole genome shotgun sequence.
CUUCUACUCCCUCCGUCCGGAAUUACUUGUCUCAGAAUUAGUACAAAGUUGUACUAAAUCAAAGACAAGUAAUUCCGGACGGAGGGAGUACUAA